rnacentral:rRNA from 1 species
GAUGAACGCUGGCGGCGUGCCUAAUACAUGCAAGUCGAGCGAACAGACGAGGAGCUUGCUCCUCUGACGUUAGCGGCGGACGGGUGAGUAACACGUGGAUAACCUACCUAUAAGACUGGGAUAACUUCGGGAAACCGGAGCUAAUACCGGAUAAUAUAUUGAACCGCAUGGUUCAAUAGUGAAAGACGGUUUUGCUGUCACUUAUAGAUGGAUCCGCGCCGCAUUAGCUAGUUGGUAAGGUAACGGCUUACCAAGGCGACGAUGCGUAGCCGACCUGAGAGGGUGAUCGGCCACACUGGAACUGAGACACGGUCCAGACUCCUACGGGAGGCAGCAGUAGGGAAUCUUCCGCAAUGGGCGAAAGCCUGACGGAGCAACGCCGCGUGAGUGAUGAAGGUCUUCGGACCGUAAAACUCUGUUAUUAGGGAAGAACAAAUGUGUAAGUAACUAUGCACGUCUUGACGGUACCUAAUCAGAAAGCCACGGCUAACUACGU